AGCGCGACUCUUAGGCGGUCGAUGUAAGAGAACCUGCGGCACAUGGGCGGAUGCAGCUCCUUAUAUACAGAUCAGUCACCAUGGGGAUGGGCCUUGGCCUUUUCCUGUUGGUCCAGACCCCUCUGUCUGCCCAGAGAAGCCGUGACAGGAGAGUGGUGAUUGGUGCAAGCGACAUGGUAUGAGGAAAUGGAUUACAGUGCCAUUCUUCUGCUGUUUAGAAAGCCUCCAUUAUCAGCGAGGAUCAUCUAGUGAAAGGCUCUGAGCUGCAGACCACUGAACAUUUGCUGGAUAAAAAUUCAGAGAAAUCUCCAGAUCUCUUGGCUUUUUAAAUUCGUGGACAUCCAGCAAUGGCAGAAGAAAGCUUGGGUCUGUUUCCGAGCUCCCCGGCCUUCUGCCAGCGUGGCAGGCACAAGACCUCGAGAAAAUUCAGCUGCGCCGCCAUCUGCUGGACCUUUGGAGACACUGCAGGAACCCGUAGAUUGAACAAAGGUGUUGGGGUUGUCAGUGAAGACCUAGCUUUUUGCCCAGGAACUAGUGCCAAGGCAAGGAUACAUUCCGUCUGCUCAUCCAAAAACAAACAAACAAACGAAAAAACACUAAACAGACCCUUUGCUAGAAAGGAGUCUCCGUGUUGAGAAGCACUUGGAUCUGAACGAACUGGGGUUGAUGGCCACACAGAAAGCCCAGGGCUGCUAUGGAAAGGCAGAAUCCUCUUCAUUACCUGCAUCCAUGCUGGGCACUCGCUAAAAACUAAAACGUUGUUUUCCAUCGCUGCACACAGGGGGUUUCAGGGACAGAAGUCACAUUGCCCUUGCUCUCCUGAGCGGACUGCUUUUGCUGAAUGGAAAUGAUUCGAAAGGUGAAAGGUGACAGAAACAAAAAUCGAUCGGGGGGCUGGAAGGUGCUCAGAUGUAGCCCUGGCGGGGUUUGAUAACGAGAUCGCGAAACCCUGCCACCGUUUUCCAACCUCUAGAGUCACUUCUGAUUCACUUGAAGAUUUUUCUAUUUAGCAGCUGCAGACCCUUUUCACACGAGGGACUAACCCCAUUUGCAAACACAUUUAUAUAUGUGCUUUCAAAGAAACAUUGUUUGUUUGAAGCGGUUAUUGAAACAGUCCGUUCAGCAUUGCUGCAACGCUGCUAUAACCCGCACUGCACUCUGAAAUCUUUUGAGGGAACUAACUGGCCAACAGCAGAAUGAAGACCAGGGUCCGACUGGCCCACCCACCCCGGAAAAUCGGGUUCCACGGCAGAAGCCUUAGUAAUGGAAACACAUUAACAAAACAUAGCUCUGACCCCACGGAGCUAUUAACAAAAACAAAACUAGUUUUUGUAUUCUGGAAUGAGCUUUCAGUGUUUUUCCUGAAAGAGAUGAAAUGGCUUGAUCAACCAUGUGGCCUACCGGAGCCUGGCUGAUUACAAAAUCCUUGGGGUCCAUGUCAGGUGACUUCCAUAUUCAAUGUGUUCUAAGGGCCUCCUACAUUUCUUUAAUAACUAAGCCCUCCAGGGAGAGACUGUCUGGUCCUACUGCUAGAAGAGGUAGCCAUCUCCAGAGUGCUUGGAGAAGAUACUACAGCAACCAAGGAAACAAAGAAAUGAAAGUUCCCUAUAGCAAGUCCUGGAUGGACUGUGUCAGAAAAUGGAGCACGGUUUUGUCGAUUUUUUUAUAGUAUUUAUUUAGUGUGUAUACAGUGUUCUGCCUGCACAUCAAGUGAGGGCGCCAAAUCUCACUAUAGAUGAAAAACAGCCAGUGCUCUGAACCUCUGAGCCAUAUCUCCGCCC